AUGGCAGCAGAUGCAGACGCGGCCACUGCUACGGGAGACUCCAUCCUGCAUGUGGUCGCGGGUGGAGGCGAUGCUCGUUUCUUGGAGUGCGCCACGGUGAUCGUCGGCAAGGCGAAGCAUCUCCUCAGCGCCCGCAACCGCAACCGCAACGGCGACACCCCGCUACACUGCGCCACCCGGCUGGGGCAUGGUAGGAUGGUCACCCAUCUCUUGGGUCUUGCUCGACCCGGUGAUGGUGAUGAGACUGGGCUGAAGGAGAACCUGAGGGCGCAGAACGGCAAGGGAGAGACUGUGCUGCACGAAGCGAUCCGCUUGGAAGACAAGGACAUGGUGGGCGUGCUACUGUCGGCGGACUCGCAGCUAGCGCGUGUUCCGCUGGCCGACGGCGCCUCGCCCUUAUACUUGGCCCUGUUGCUGGGUCUCGGGGACAUUGCAAGGCAGCUCUUUGAGGGAGACCAAGAGCUGUCUUACUCUGGACCAGACGGCCAAAAUGCCUUCCACGCAGCUCUUCUGGGGAGGCAGGCCAAAGGCAUCACCAUGUCACCCCGCAAAAAAAAAGACACCACCAUGUCAGACUCGAGUCGGAGAACCAGUAAUGACCAAUUGUUGACGCCUUCCACGCAGCCAUGCCAAGAGGAGAUAGGCCGAGUCUCCGAGAGGAAACCACACCAUCCCUUCUGGCGACCGCGAAGACGUUAUCCCAGAGAAGAGGCAACUCAUCAGGUAAUGAAAAUGCUAUUGGAAAGGAACAAUCACCUUGUGACACAAGCGGACCGAUCCACAGGAAGCACGCCCCUUCACUUGGCCGCCACAUGGCGGGGACCGAUGGGAUUGCUACUCAAGGCUGGCCCAGCUGCAGCGUAUAUGCCAGACAAUAAUGGGUCAUUUCCCAUACAUUUAGCUGCGUUCGAGGGUGAAGAGAAUGCAGUCUUGGCCUUCCUACAAGAGAGCGGCCCUUACUGCGCCGAGCUACGCGACGGCAAAGGCAGGACAUUCCUCCAUGUCGCGGCUGAAGAGGAGAAGAGCAUCCGCGUCAUCAAGUUGGCUUGCGGAUGGCAGGGCAAGUCGUUUUCAUCGUCGGUCAUGAACAUGCAAGACAACGACGGGAACACUGCGCUGCACCUCGCUGCUCUGGCAGGGAAUAUAGGGGCAGUCUGUGAUCUGGUGUCAAUACCAGAGGUCAAGCUAGAUGUAAGCAACAACAAGAGAGAAACACCACUAGAGACUGCGUACAUGACUAAAACCCUUGGGGCACACAGCGCAGGGUCGGCCUUCUACGGGGACCCACGGAAAAGGAUAUAUCUCUUGUUGCAAGGAACUUGCUAUAGGACUGGUGUCUCCGCAGGGAUCAGACCCUGGGGGAGAGAACGGAGAGAAUUCAUCAAGUCUGCUUUAGACAAAAUGAACAGAUCGGAGAACAUCGCCAGCGAAACGCAGAUCAUCGGUCUUGUCGCUGUGCUGAUCACGACGGUGACAUUCGCCGCAGCCUUUGCCGUGCCUGGUGGCUACCGAGCAGAUGACGACAACAAGGGCGGCACGCCGAUGCUUGCGGGGCACUACUCCUUCCAUGCCUUCGUCAUUGCCAACACACUAGCAUUCACCUGCUCCGUCGUAUCCAUCCUCUUUCUCAUGUAUGCAGGGGUAGGCCCGAACGUGAACGACCGCAUGUGGCCCUUACUCAUGUCCACAAACCUUUUGGCUAGUUCGGCUAGGAGCCUCUGCGCCGCCUUCGCCGUCGGGGUGUACUCCAUCCUAGCUCCGGUCGAGCCAAUCAAGGCCAUGUUUUCUUGCAUCAUCACCGUGUUCCCGCUCGUGCUGGUGGAACUCUUUUUAUACAUCAAGUCGGCGUCAAUGGAUUACAGCGACAGCAGAGCGGAGUUGGCAAGGAAGUUUGCAGGUCAGGCACUCUGGAUGGAGAUGGCACGGGCGAUCCUAGCGCACCUACUCAUUGGGAUAGUGAUGUUCGAGUACUGGCCAUACAUUUUCAUCGCGGCCAUGUCUUGCUAA
rnacentral:rRNA from 1 species